GUCUAAAGCAUCUUCAGUUUUCACAGUUUCUAUAUGAAAAUCAUCACUAACAUCUGAAUCUGCAACAGUAUCAAGAAUAUUUGAAUGCAUAAACAACUCAGGCAAAGCAAGUGGGAUUUCAAGUUUAGAGAAAACAUGUGUUGAUUCAUGAUUCAUCUCACUAGUAACAGCAGAAUGAGCAACUACAUCCUCAGGUGCAAAAGUGGGGAUAUAAGAGGGUGGGAAAGUAGAUGGCGCAGUAGUAAGCUCAUGACUCUCCUCCCCAUCUCCAAUGUGAAUGGCACUGACAUCAUCUGGAAGCUGAACAGUCUGGAAUGGUGAUUCCUCUGAAACUUGAGACUGUUCCUCGGUGCACUACACGACCAUCUUCCCC
rnacentral:lncRNA from 1 species